rnacentral:rRNA from 1 species
GACGAACGCUGGCGGCACGCUUAACACGUGCAAGUCGAACGAGAGAAGAGAAGCUUGCUUUUCUGAUCUAGUGGCGGACGGGUGAGUAACACGUGAGCAAUCUGCCUUUCAGAGGGGGAUACCGAUUGGAAACGAUCGUUAAUACCGCAUAACAUAAUUGAACCGCAUGAUUUGAUUAUCAAAGAUUUAUCGCUGAAAGAUGAGCUCGCGUCUGAUUAGCUAGUUGGUAAGGUAACGGCUUACCAAGGCGACGAUCAGUGGCCGGACUGAGAGGUUGAUCGGCCACAUUGGGACUGAGACACGGCCCAGACUCCUACGGGAGGCAGCAGUGGGGAAUUUUGCACAAUGGAGGAAACUCUGAUGCAGCGAUGCCGCGUGAGGGAAGAAGGUUUUAGGAUUGUAAACCUCUGUCUUCAGGGACGAAAAAAGACGGUACCUGAGGAGGAAGCUCCGGCUAACUACGUG